CAUACGCAAAUGAGUUGUACCCGGAAGCCCGCCCGUAUAAACAAUGGAUUUGUUACCUGGACUAAUCAAGAUGAGUUAUUUUUUGCGCGUUUCUUUUGAAACUGCAGCAUCAGAGGAACACGCGUCUUCUUCAGGACUUGUUCAGAAAGAAACGAGCGCGGCGGAAUGUGUUUUUACGUGAUGUAGCACGGAAAGCCGUAACGAAAACACCGACGGAUUAAACAGCUGAUUUACGAGCCAAAUGAAAAAGACGACUUGGAGAUCAGACGGAGCUUUGAGGAAACGAAUUAUAUUCCUCAAAUAACUGACGGGACUCACAGACAAAUGCAGGGUGUGAAAAACACUGAGGGCGAAGACGUACGGCUACGAAUCAUUGGUGACCCUGCAGAUCCACUCCUCAACUGGUUGCUGAAAGGCUGCAUAAAUUCUACACAUCUGAACCCAGAGGAGAAAUCUGUUAAUGUGAACCUCAGCUCACUCUGUGUGACAGAAGAAAACACUUUAAGGAUUUUGAAGUCGAGGUGGAGGGUGAUACUGAAGAGAUUUUCACUUCACCUUUACCCCAGCUGUGAUAGCAACCUGCUGUGCACUUCCUAAUUUCUGUCAAAAUGAGAGGAACAAUGCAAGCAACAACUGGUUGGAGAACACUGGUCACUUUGAUGGCAUCUUUCCUCAGCCUGGACCACAAGUCUGGAUGCAGAGCCGUUCCAGUGGGAGCAGGACAACGAUGGCAUUGAAAGAGUACAUGUUGAAUCACUUCCCUCUCCAAAAUGGUCAUCUCCAUUAACACAAUAAUAAUAAUAAUAAAAAAAUCUGACAAACAUUUUCUCUUUUUUUAUUAAAGUGAAUACAACUUCUUCCGUACACAUAUAAAAUAAAAACCUGGCAGCACCACAGCAAUCUGGUUAAAAAUAAAAUAUAGUACUAAAAACUUUUAAUCACUUACAUCAGAGCUUGGCAUUCUUAAACUGGUAUUACUGUAAUGUCAGAUCAUAAAACCAAACCCUAAAGGCGGCUCUUUGUCAGCAAAAUAACAUACUAUCAGGAAAAAUUUUAAGAAACUAAACAUCAGGGCCAGUUUCUUAUAUUCAAUUUCUACAUGUUGUGUAGGCUGUAGUCAACGUUUCCACUGUUAUUUUGAUUUUUCUGCAUGUGCCGAAGUGGCAGGUGGUAACUUGGGUUGGGUGGUCAGGUGGCUCGCUGUGAUUGGUGAUGAAACAGUGGACUUAGUAGAGGACCAAGCUGAGAUGCGUGCACAUCAUUUAGAAAAGAUUAACUCACCUGUUCCAGACUAAUAUGACUCCAAUGAACAACUUGAGAUAUGUGCCAAAAUCUCUAUCCAGGA